UACAGAGGGUGCAAGCGUUGUUCGGAAUUAUUGGGCGUAAAGGGCAGGUAGGUGGUCUUAAAAGUCUACUGUGAAAUCCCUGGGCUUAACCCAGGAAGUGCGGUGGAUACUCUAAGACUUGAGUGCCGGAGGGGUGCGUGGAAUUCCGAGUGUAGCGGUGAAAUGCGUAGAUAUUCGGAGGAACACCAGAGGCGAAAGCGGCGCACUGGACGGCAACUGACACUCAACUGCGAAAGCGUGGGGAGCAAACAGG
rnacentral:rRNA from 1 species